rnacentral:sRNA from 1 species
GUCUAGCCCCGAUAGAAGUGGAAAUCCUUUUGUGCCGUGGUUCGGCACAAAAGAUUGUAACGUAUAGCGGGAUUAGCU